rnacentral:rRNA from 1 species
AGUGAACGCUGGCGGUAGGCUUAACACAUGCAAGUCGAACGGCAGCACAGUAAGAGCUUGCUCUUACGGGUGGCGAGUGGCGGACGGGUGAGGAAUACAUCGGAAUCUACUCUUUCGUGGGGGAUAACGUAGGGAAACUUACGCUAAUACCGCAUACGACCUACGGGUGGAAGCAGGGGAUCUUCGGACCUUGCGCGAUUGAAUGAGCCGAUGUCGGAUUAGCUAGUUGGCGGGGUAAAGGCCCACCAAGGCGACGAUCCGUAGCUGGUCUGAGAGGAUGAUAGGCCACACUGGAACUGAGACACGGUCCAGACUCCUACGAGAGGGAGCAGUGGGGAAUGUUGGACAAUGGGCGCAAGCCUGAUCCAGCCAUACCGCGUGGGUGAAGGAGGCCUUCGGGUUGUAAAGCCCUUUUGUUGGGAAAGAAAAGCAGCAGGUUAAUACCCCGCUGUUCUGACGGUACCCAAAGAAUAAGCACCGGCUAACUUCGUG